rnacentral:rRNA from 1 species
GACGGGGAGCACCACAACGGUGGAGCUUGCGGUUUAAUUGGAUUCAACGCCGGAAAUCUUACCGGACCGACAGCAAUAUGAAGGCCAGGCUGAAGACUUUGCCGGAUUAGCUGAGAGGUGGUGCAUGGCCGUCGUCAGUUCGUACUGUGAAGCAUCCUGUUAAGUCAGGCAACGAGCGAGACCCACGCCCACAGUUGCCAGCGUACUCUCCGGAGUGACGGGUACACUGUGGGACCGCCGCUGCUAAAGCGGAGGAAGGAAUGGGCAACGGUAGGUCAGUAUGCCCCGAAUAUCCCGGGCUACACGCGAGCUACAAUGGUUGGUACAAUGGGUAUCUACCCCGAAAGGGGACGGGAAUCUCCUAAAACCAAUCUUAGUUCGGAUUGAGGGCUGCAACUCGCCCUCAUGAAGCUGGAAUCCGUAGUAAUCGCGUUUCAACAGAACGCGGUGAAUACGUCCCUGCUCCUU